UGGCCGCAGUAUACUAACUGUGCAAAGGUAGCAUAAUCAUUAGUCUUUUAAUUGAAGGCUGGUAUGAAUGGUUGGACGAGAUAUUAACUGUUUCAUAAAAAUUUAUAAUAGAAUUUUAUUUUUUAGUCAAAAAGCUAAAAUUUAUUUAAAAGACGAGAAGACCCUAUAAAUCUUUAUAUUUAUAUUAUUAUAAUUUUUUAGAUUUUUUUUGUUAUAAUAAUAGAUUAUAUUUUAUUGGGGUGAUAUUAAAAUUUAAUAAACUUUUAAUUGUUUAAAUCAUUAAUUUAUGAAUAAUUGAUCCGUUAUUAGCGAUUAAAAAAACAAGUUACUUUAGGGAUAACAGCGUAAUUUUUUUGGAGAGUUCAUAUCGAUAAAAAAGAUUGCGACCUCGAUGUUGGAUUAAGAUAUAAUUUUAGGUGUAGCCGCUUAAAUUUUAAGUCUGUUCGACUUUUAAAUUCUUACAUGAUCUGAGUUCAAACCGGCGUAAGCCAGGUUGGUUUCUAUCUUUAAAAA
rnacentral:rRNA from 1 species